UUGGGUAAUAAAGGCCUUAUCGAUCACCUGCGACCUUUUUCUUCACUCUCUCCUCGCUCAUUACUUCAUCAAUCGUCUCAAAGCUCCUCCUCAUUUUUUUGAUGACACAAAGCUCCUUCUUAUUGAUCCCCGGAAUCAAAUCCCUUCUCAGCUUUCACCGCGUGCAGGGAUAGGUUCGUCGGAGUCUCGGCAAAGAACACCUCCUUUAGAGACCCAUAAUUGAUCGACGGAGAAGAGGACGACUUUGUGUCUGGGUUUGUUUUGGCUUCCUGCAAGUGCAAUGGCAUUGUUUAUAUCUACGAACUUGAGUGGUUCUUUGCAAUUAAACAUUGUGAUCGUCUUAUGUUUAUCUGGUUGGAGAACCAAACUGGGAGCAAUGUAGAAGACUGACAAGGGCUGCUGCUAUGAAUACAAGCACACCCGACACAGCAAGAGAAGGGACGUCUAGAGACAACUUGGACUGUACUCAGGAAGUUUGGCUAUAACAACGAUAUACGACUUUCAGAAGAACUAAUUCCAUCUCUCCCAAAACGGACUCCUGACCAGACGCUCAGAGCUAAAUCCUCCAGCUAUUAUAUGUGUGUGCGUGCAUUGCCUAAACAAUGAUUCUUAAGAUAAACAUGGUAGAAGUGUACAAAUAAGCAUCACUUUAAACUGGACCUUGAGGGCACAAGACUGAGCCUGAUCUUGAAUAAUAGAUUGGCUCCCAACUUCAUUCAGGUGUUUGAACUUAUGCCCUUAUGUGAUGUGCCAUUAUCAUGCCAGCUUAAGUGCAUCAUUUUUGUGAAGUUCUUUUAUUCUAAUAGGUAUUUUUAAAUAUAUCCCACCUUUUUUCUCUUU